UACAGAGGUCCCAAGCGUUGUUCGGAUUUACUGGGCGUAAAGGGCGCGUAGGCGGCCGGGCCAGUCCGGCGUGAAAGCCCGCAGCUUAACUGCGGAAGGGCGCUGGAUACUACCUGGCUGGAGGGUUGGAAGGGGGACUGGAACUCCCGGUGUAGCAGUGAAAUGCGUAGAUAUCGGGAAGAACGCCAGUGGCGAAGGCGAGUCCCUGGACAAUUCCUGACGCUGAGGCGCGAAAGCCAGGGGAG
rnacentral:rRNA from 1 species